AACGUUAGCAUGCUAAUAUUCAAGCCGGUUAGCUAGUUGCCUAAUCAUGUCAUGCCCUACAUCUGAAAUAACUGCACACGCAAAAUUGGCUGAAGGCUACACAGACUUAAAUAUUGGUGAAAGAGAAAUUACUUUUAGCUAGUGGGAUUAAACCACAUUCUGUGACUAGAUUCUGUGAGCUGUAUACACAUUUCUGUCCACAGGAAACAGUGUUAUCCUACUGUAUCUCAGACUGUAUUUUGACAGUAUUAUCUGUGAACCCAUUCGUUCUACAAAUGUAAAUAUGUAAGAACACUGCAGGUACAGCACUGACUGGAUUUACAGUUCAUAGAAUCUGAUUUAUAUUACUUGCUAUUGCUGAUUUAAUAGCCAACAUGCAUGAUCCCCAUCAGUGAUCAUAGACCAGUCUUUGUGCCUUUCUCCUUCCUUUCUUCUGUCUUCAGAUGGCUUCUGACAACUUCAGACAGUGGCUGGAGAUGGGAAAAGCAUUGGCAGAUGAGUUUGCAUCAAAAAAACCAUCAAAGAAACGGAAGCAGAAGCGGACUGCAGGUUCCAGUGUUUCCUGGAGGACAAGGGACCGUAAUGGGUACAUUGUACCAAAAUACAUCCAGAGGAAUCGAUCAGUUAAACCCACUGACAUGUGUGAAAGA